UAGGGAAUCUUCCACAAUGGACGCAAGUCUGAUGGAGCAACGCCGCGUGAGUGAAGAAGGUUUUCGGACCGUAAAGCUCUGUUGUUGGUGAAGAAGGAUAGAGGUAGUAACUGGCCUUUAUUUGACGGUAAUCAACCAGAAAGUCACGGCUAACUACGUGCCAGCAGCCGCAGUAAUCGUAGGUGGCAAGCGUUGUCCGGAUUUAUUGGGCGUAAAGCGAGCGCAGGCGGAAGAAUAAGUCUGAUGUGAAAGCCCUCGGCUUAACCGAGGAAUUGCAUCGGAAACUGUUUUCUUGAGUGCAGAAGAGGAGAGUAGAACUCCAUGUGUAGCGGUGGAAUGCGUAGAUAUAUGGAAGAAUACCAGUGGCGAAGGCGGCUCUCUGGUCUGCAACUGACGCUGAGGCUCGAAAGCAUGGGUAGCGAACAGGAUUAGAUACCCUGGUAGUCCAUGCC
rnacentral:rRNA from 1 species